UACGGAGGGAGCUAGCGUUGUUCGGAAUUACUGGGCGUAAAGCGUACGUAGGCGGUUAUUCAAGUCAGAGGUGAAAGCCCGGGGCUCAACCCCGGAACUGCCUUUGAAACUAGAUAACUAGAAUCUUGGAGAGGUCAGUGGAAUUCCGAGUGUAGAGGUGAAAUUCGUAGAUAUUCGGAAGAACACCAGUGGCGAAGGCGGCUCACUGGCCCGGUACUGACGCUGAGGUGCGAAAGCGUGGGGAGCAAACAGG
rnacentral:rRNA from 1 species